CUACGGGAGGCUCCAGUGGGGAAUAUUGGACAAUGGGCGCAAGCCUGAUCCAGCAAUGCCGCGUGUGUGAAGAAGGCCUGCGGGUUGUAAAGCACUUUCAAUUGGGAGGAAAAGCGGUCGGUUAAUACCCGGCCGACUUGACGUUACCUUUAGAAGAAGCACCGGCUAACUCCGUGCCAGCAGCCGCGGUAAUACGGAGGGUGCAAGCGUUAAUCGGAAUUACUGGGCGUAAAGCGCGCGUAGGUGGCUAUAUAAGUCGGAUGUGAAAGCCCUGGGCUCAACCUGGGAAUGGCAUUCGAUACUGUCUGGCUAGAGUCUGGUAGAGGGAAGUGGAAUGCCAGGUGUAGCGGUGAAAUGCGUAGAUAUCUGGAGGGACACCAGUGGCGAAGGCGAGUUACUGGAACAAGACUGACACUGAGGUGCGAAAGCGUGGGUAGCAAACAGGAUUAGAUACCCGCGUAGUC
rnacentral:rRNA from 1 species